AACGAACGCUGGCGGCGUGCCUAAUACAUGCAAGUAGAACGCUGAAGGAGGAGCUUGCUUCUCUGGAUGAGUUGCGAACGGGUGAGUAACGCGUAGGUAACCUGCCUGGUAGCGGGGGAUAACUAUUGGAAACGAUAGCUAAUACCGCAUAAGAGUAGAUGUUGCAUGACAUUUGCUUAAAAGGUGCAAUUGCAUCACUACCAGAUGGACCUGCGUUGUAUUAGCUAGUUGGUGGGGUAACGGCUCACCAAGGCGACGAUACAUAGCCGACCUGAGAGGGUGAUCGGCCACACUGGGACUGAGACACGGCCCAGACUCCUACGGGAGGCAGCAGUAGGGAAUCUUCGGCAAUGGACGGAAGUCUGACCGAGCAACGCCGCGUGAGUGAAGAAGGGUUUCGGAUCGUAAAGCUCUGUUGUAAGAGAAGAACGAGUGUGAGAGUGGAAAGUUCACACUGUGACGGUAUCUUACCAGAAAGGGACGGCUAACUACGUG
rnacentral:rRNA from 1 species